AUUGAACGCUGGCGGCAUGCCUGACACAUGCAAGUCGAACGGCAGCACGGUUCAGUUUACUGAAUGGGUGGCGAGUGGCGAACGGGUGAGUAACGCGUAGGAAUAUACCUUGAAGAGUGGGACAACCUGGGGAAACUCAGGCUAAUACCGCAUAAUCUCUCAGGAGGAAAGCUGGGGACCUUAGGGCCUGGCGCUUUAGGAUUAGCCUGCGUCCGAUUAGCUAGUUGGGGGGUAAAGGCUUACCAAGGCGACGAUCGGUAGCUGGUCUGAGAGGAUGAUCAGCCACACUGGAACUGAGACACGGUCCAGACUCCUACGGGAGGCAGCAGUGGGGAAUAUUGGACAAUGGGGGGAACCCGUGAUCCAGCAAUGCCGCGUGUGUGAAGAAGGCCUG
rnacentral:rRNA from 1 species